rnacentral:rRNA from 1 species
GACGAACCGUGCGAACGUUGUUCGGAAUCACUGGGCUUAAAGGGCGCGUAGGCGGCCGGGUUGGUCGUGGGUGAAAUCCCCCAGCUUAACUGGGGAAUUGCCUACGAUACUGCCUGGCUCGAGGGAGGAAGGGGCGGCCGGAACUGUCGGUGGAGCGGUGAAAUGCGUAGAUAUCGCUUGGAACGCCGAAGGUGAAAACAGGUCGCUGGGGAUGUGCCGACGCUGAGACACGAAAGCCAGGGGAGCAAACGGG